UGGAGGAUCUGUUUGUGUAUGCACGAAUCACGAGGAGGGAAGUGAGCGCUUCGAAGCAGCCAUUUUAUCACAUGUGAGAAUCGAUGAGGAGUGAAGAUCGAGAUAACAUUAGAAGAAGUACUAUUGGAUAAGGAUUGAAGUUCUCUAAGCAAGUUUACGAUUUGAUGAGAAAUAUUUACUUCUCUUUCAUAUAAAAUUCUUUCCUAGUUAUUCUUUCUGCGUUUCAAUUCAUCGGCCUUGAUCCAGAGGAUGUGAAAAAUAUCAGUAACAAAUGGGACGCAACACGAUUGUAAAGAAGAAUUGUAAACAAGUACAAGGUUCGCCGAAUAAUAAGCCUUAACAACAUUAA